CCUGUGAACAUACCACUUGUUGCCUCGGCGGAUCAGCCCGCUCCCGGUAAAACGGGACGGCCCGCCAGAGGACCCCUAAACUCUGUUUCUAUAUGUAACUUCUGAGUAAAACCAUAAAUAAAUCAAAACUUUCAACAACGGAUCUCUUGGUUCUGGCAUCGAUGAAGAACGCAGCAAAAUGCGAUAAGUAAUGUGAAUUGCAGAAUUCAGUGAAUCAUCGAAUCUUUGAACGCACAUUGCGCCCGCCAGUAUUCUGGCGGGCAUGCCUGUUCGAGCGUCAUUUCAACCCUCAAGCACAGCUUGGUGUUGGGACUCGCGUUAAUUCGCGUUCCUCAAAUUGAUUGGCGGUCACGUCGAGCUUCCAUAGCGUAGUAGUAAAACCCUCGUUACUGGUAAUCGUCGCGGCCACGCCGUUAAACCCCAACUUCUGAAUGUUGACCUCGGAUCAGGUAGGAAUACCCGCUGAACUUAAGCAUAUCA
rnacentral:misc_RNA from 1 species